GGAUUGUGGCUCAGUGGUAGAGAGCUAGCCUCCCAUGUGCGGGGCCCUGGGUUCAAAACUCAGCACCA
rnacentral:tRNA from 1 species